UUGAUCACUUUCCAUCCUGCCUCUAGUUGCUGGUUGCUGAAAUUCACAUGGAUAGUCUUGCUACCUGAAAGGAUUGGAGCAACAUGAGCAAAAUUCCGACCAGAGGUACAACUCCCCUUGAUGAUGGGAUCAAGGAGCAGGGGCGUAGAUUUAAGAAAUCUGACUAUGAUCGGAUGAAUCAAGACAGAGGACAAAGUAGCAAACUUUUCGAUGCAACUUAGAAGGCAUCCGGUCCAGAUGGAUCAACUGCUCUGCUCAAGACCACAAGAAAUUACAGAGAGUUGGGAGCACAAUCCAAUUCAUCAUACAAACCAACCUUCCUUUCAUUGACUUCAUCCACAAUUCCCAUGGCCAUUGGAAAGCAGCCAACAUCUUCAAAGACCCUUCCCACCCGAGCUAUACAUUGUUUCACUCGCUUCCAUCAGGCAAAAGAUAUAAUAGCUUGAAAACAUGCAGAAACAGAUUCAAGAACAGCUUCUUCCUCGCUGUUAUCAGACUCAUGAAUGGCUCUCCUGUGUAGUAGACUUGAUUAUUCUCUGCACCUUCUCUAUCAUUGUAACACUACAUUCAAUGUUCUCUUCUAUUACCCUGAUGUAUUUACGUAAGGUAUGAUCUGUCCAGAACACACGCAAAACAAUCUUUUUCGCUUUUUAUCAGUGCAUGCGACAAUAAUAAAUGAAAUAAAAUGGAACCCA